rnacentral:rRNA from 1 species
GAUUAACGCUGGCGGCGUGCAUGAAACAUGCAAGUCGAGCGCGAUGCGAGCUUGCUCGCAUCUAGCGGCGCACGGGUGAGUAACACGUGAGCAACCUACCUCGGAGCCCGGGAUAGCCCUGAGAAAUCAGGAUUAAUACCGGAUGAUGUCGCCGUGGGGCAUCCCAUGGCGAAGAAAGGCUUCGGCCACUCCAAGACGGGCUCGCGGCCAUUAGCUUGUUGGUGGGGUAAUGGCCUACCAAGGCGAAGAUGGGUAGCUGGUCUGAGAGGACGAUCAGCCACACUGGGACUGAGACACGGCCCAGACUCC